UCUCUGGUGGUUCAGAGGUUAGGACUCUGCACUCUACAGCCAAGGGCCCAGGUUCAAUCCCUGGCCAGGGAA
rnacentral:tRNA from 1 species